CGGAGGAUCCAAGCGUUAUCCGGAAUCAUUGGGUUUAAAGGGUCCGUAGGCGGUUUGGUAAGUCAGUGGUGAAAGCCCAUCGCUUAACGAUGGAACGGCCAUUGAUACUGCCAGACUUGAAUUACUGGGAAGUAACUAGAAUAUGUAGUGUAGCGGUGAAAUGCUUAGAUAUUACAUGGAAUACCAAUUGCGAAGGCAGGUUACUACCGGUGUAUUGACGCUGAUGGACGAAAGCGUGGGGAGCGAACAGGAUUAGAUACCCUGGUAGUCCACGCCGUAAAUGAUGGAUACUAGCUGUUGGGAGUAAUCUCAGUGGCUAAGCGAAAGUGAUAAGUAUCCCACCUGGGGAGUACGAACGCAAGUUUG
rnacentral:rRNA from 1 species